rnacentral:rRNA from 1 species
CGUGUAGGCGGUUGGUUAAGUCGGAUGUGAAAGCCUGGGGCUCAGCCCCAGAAGUGCAUCCGAAACUAUCCGGCUAGAGCGCGAUAGAGGAGGGUGGGAUUCCUGGUGUAGCGGUGAAAUGCGUAGAUAUCAGGAGGAACACCGGCGGCGAAGGCGGCCCUCUGGAUCGUUGCUGACGCUGAGACGCGAAAGCGUGGGGAGCAAACAGGAUUAGAUACCCUGGUAGUCCACGCCUUAAACGAUGGGUACUAGGUGUUCGGGGUGUUGACCCCCUGAGUGCCGCAGUUAACGCAUUAAGUACCCCGCCUGGGGACUACGGCCGCAAGGUUAAA